UAAGCAGAGCAGGCGGUCGCGUGCAGGAGCAGCUCGUAAGGAGCUGCUCUUUGUGCGAGGAAAGUCCGGGCUUCACAGGGCAGGAUGCCGGAUAACGUCCGGUGGAGGUGACUCCCAGGAAAGUGCAGCAGAAAAGAACCGCUGGCUAUGCCAGUAAGGGUGAAAAGGCAGUGUAAGAGACUACCGUUUUCGUGGUAACACGAAAAGCCGUGUAAACCCCAUCCGAAGCAAGACCAAGAACCGGAUCUUCAGAUCCGGAGCGGGAACCAUGGGCCGGCCCGGUCCGUUCCCGGGUAGGUUGCUAGAGACCGCCGGCAACGGCGGCCCCAGACAGAUGACCGUCCAACGACAGAACCCGGCUUAUCGCUCUGCUUACUUG
rnacentral:RNase_P_RNA from 1 species